AUGUAUUUUAAUUAUAAAAAAUGUUUUUAGUAAAAAAAGUCUAUUUUCAUCACAGGUCAAUAAGAGUGCAUUGGGCUUUCCUUUUUUUUUUCUUCAAUGAUACAAGUGUUUUCUGAAGAAUGAAUUUUAGAUGACUUAAAUAUAAUCAAACAUAGAAUUGUUUCUCCACAUGUACUUUCUUUAAAGAAACUGCUUGUUUCUGGUAAAAACACUUCCACUGUGAAGUGGGGGAUAGGUUUGACAAAGUCUGUUUAAGAAUGACCUAUAGCCGGGUUCAUUAAUGUAAACCACUUAUCAAAUAAUUGCAACCAAUGAAAAUACAAACCUGUUACAGAUAAUUGAGAAAUAGAAAAAAAGUGUUUCAAUUUUUCAUCUAAAUUGAUUGCAGAGCAUUUUGUGAAAAGCACCUGUCCACAGUUCUUAAUUUGCACUUUAAUGGACUGAUUUCACUUUUAAAGUUUGAGGGCCCAGGUGCUUGAUGGGGUAUCUGCAAAAGCUGGGUGAUCUGUUCACUCUAUAACAUGUACAGUUUCACUCUCCUCCUGCUUGAACCAACAACAACAACAACAAAAUACCAACACCCACAAACUUUUCCUUUGGCUGCUCCUGUGGUUCCUCCAGCAUGACUACUCAUACCACACCCUAUAUCUUCUGUUUCCAAAGAAUCCCUCCAAAUUUCCUUAUGGCCUGAGUCAGGAGAACCAAUAUAGUCCGUUUCCAAUACGGUCAACACCUGCUAAUGAUAUAGGUUGUUUCAAUCAAACACUCCCAAACUGUUCCAAGACUUUAUGUCCUGACUUUUGUGUUGUUUAAAAGCAAAGUAGAAUGUUGGAUUAUGUGUGUUUGCUUUUUGGUGUGGUUUGUGAUGUGUCUGGUAAUGGGCACAUGGAUGAGGUAUGAAGGGUCAUGGAAUAUCAACCUCUUCUUCAGAGAUUCUGAUGGUAUGUGCUGUCAGUGGGAAUAUCAUAGGUCUCUAGAAGGUUAAUCCUGUUCCCAAGAAUAGAAACUGGAGAUCAGAGUGGAGAAUAUCCUCCAUAUGACCAUUUUAAGCACCACUGCGAAGCACCUCAGGAAUGAAAUUUCGUGAUGAUUCUGCAGGGGAUUUUUGCAAGACUCGUUUAAAAAUGGUUAAAGAUGACAGCUGGAAAUGAUGGAUAAGAGUCCUGAGAAUGCCCUUCUGCCUUACCCUAGUGAAGGUUUAUCAGGUGGGUGUCUCACUGCCUUCUGUUCUUCUCACUUGGACUCAUUAACCUUUGGAGACGGAAAAACCCAUUUAAUCCAUCUUGCUGGGUACCACUUUAGGAGUGCUCCCAGCAGUACUUUUUCAGUAUUUUGUCAAGUCAGGUUACUACAUUUAUCAUCAUUUGAAAAGCUGUCAUGAAAUGCUCAAAGAAAGGAUACAGAAGAAACAAUGGCUUAGUUCUCACAUGAAGAUUUGGCCUCAUUCCCAGGCACGAGGCCAAUGGUCAGAGAUUCAUUUCUGUGGCAAUCUAGCCCUGUUCAGUGUUUGUUUUCUUCCUCUUUCCUAUCCCCCUAAUAUAUCACCUCAUAGGAAGUAUAGGGGGGAAUCUGGUGUGACUCCAGAUCAAGCAAAGUUAGACAAUGCCUUCAGUGCCAUGGAGCCUGCAGCUGAGUCAGUUUGUGGUAGGGUAUCGCUGUGGGGCUCUGAAUACUACCCAGGAGUCAAAAUUCAGAACAUAUGGAAAUCCAGCAGAUGAUAUACCCUCCUGGGAUGAAAGGAAUGAAGUGUCUGCUUAAUCACAUGGACUCUUACAAAAAGCAAAAUAAAAAAGUUGUUUGUGUGUCCAGAGAGAUUUGAGAUCAGUCUACACUGAAAGGAUCCUGCUGAAGAGAGAGAGAUGUUAUGGUAACUCUUCUGUUGGGUGAGUCUGCUCUGAUUUAUCUGAGUUCUCUUUCACUUGUGUGGGGAAUAGGGGCUGGGGAAAGCAAAAUUCCUGGAGUGGAAGAAGCUGGUGUGUGUAUGUGUGUAUAAAACCACAAUGGAAACUUCCUUGUUUUGCCUCAGAGCCAGCUUUUUGUUAAUCACUGGCUGAUCCUUGCUGGACAAGUCUGUCCAGAUUACAAGAGUGUAUGUUUUCAUGCCAGAGAUUCUAUAUACCAGUAAGUGUAUCUGUCAGGUUGUAGGGGUGUGUAUAUGAGACAGAGAGCGAGAGAGAGACAGCCUGAGGGAGAUGAUAUUACUGAAGCAUGGCACAAAAGAUGUGUGCAUCAGAGACUGUGUAUCCAAGUAUGAUUGUUGUGCAUUUUAGUGUGUGACUGGGUCCUUGUCACAUUGCACUUUGGUACUGAGAGAUCAGCUGAAUUAUACGCUAGAUAGGUGGCUAAAUUUUGCUCUGCUUCACCAAUGUAAAUUUGUCAUGAGUCUUUUGAGUUUAAAGUUGUGCCAGCACAAACAUUUUUCCCAAGCCAACAAACUGGGUACAAACUGUGUAUGCAGCAGGCUAACCCUAUGGACCAAUUACAUUAACAUAUUUGUAAGUCUGGAGUGAAACCAUUAAUGGAGAUAGUGAUGUCAGCAUAAAGGUGUCUUUAUACUGAGAUAGUUUCUUUCGUUUACUGUAUGGAAAUUGCUAUCCCAGUACAAAAGCAUUGGGAUAGGGUGUCACAAUGGAUCCCCCUCUUCAAAGAACACAAGCAGUGCUGUGCAGGGUGGCCCAGCCACUUGACCCCUGACCCAGGUGAGGAUGGGCAAAGAGGAGAAACAGGCCACUCCAACCUCAUCAGAUGAGUGGUUGGCUAGAGAGAGGACAGAAAACACACCUCUUGCUUGCUGCUGCCAGGUCUCUUCAGAUUAGAGAAUGAAAUAGUUAUUCAAGCAGGGCAUGAGUGGAGUAUGAGCUCAAGGCUGGAAAUAGGCCCAGGGAGCAACUUAAGUGUGUGGCUGUUCUGAAUACCCUAUGGAAGGUGGUAUCUAGAUGAAGGGACACCAGAGGGGCACUGCGGUUAAUGUGUUUGCUGUUUCAGCUGAUAAAAAGGUAAGUGGAUGAGUGAUUUUUGGGUGAACUCUUCCACAAAGCCUGUAAAAGGGGUCUCCAUCUUGGGGCAGAGAAUAGAACAGGAACCACCUAGCAUCAAGAGGAAUUCCACCCACACAUACCAUUUAACUACACUGACAUACAGUGCAAAUUUUAAGCUUGGGGAGUCAAAUUCAUGUGUGAUGUAAUGUGAAGCCAGUAGAGUUGCACCAAGGAUGAAUUUGUUGCAAAGAGUCUGAGACAAUGCUGUAUAUCUGAAGGGUGUUUGUAUGUGUGUAAGGUUAUGACUUUGUGUGUAUUGCACACAAGUGACUUCCACGCCAUGCCGAUGGAUGAUGACAAAGAGAAAUUGCUUGAGUUCUCCACAUGGAAUAAGAACACUCUCUUUGUCCUGGAUAUUCCCCAUCCGGUGUCCUUCACAGGAUCAAAACUCCUGUGCUCAGAAUAGCACUAGUCAAAUAUUUCAAAGGUUACCAUUUUCAACUUUAAGGAAAAAACCCAGAAAAAAUAGACUAAACUUUCAUGAAUUUCUUUUCCAAACACUUUAACAACUAUUGAGCUGAUCAAAAUGUGUCUAAUUUCACCACAUUUAGGAUUUUUAUAGAUGAGAGAUUUUUACUUAUUCUCUUUCCAAAUCACUAAAUUUCCCUCAUUGUUUUGUCUAGCUCUAGUCUGUGCUACUAGUCAAUGCUGUUAUCUAUGAGUUGCUGGAAGACCAUGGAGCUUGGAAUACUGUUAAUGGGGUGAGUUGAUCAUAUUGACAACAUCAAUCUCAUUUUGCUUCCUUUGAAGGGUUGUUGAUGGCCUCAGCUUAGCAGAAAAACUCAACAGCUCAACAGCUGGGCCCCUGGAAAAUGAAGAUUCAAAGACUGGCCCUGGCACAUUCUCUCCUCUUCCAAUGUCCAGUCUGGCCCUCUUGGUGAGCAGAAUGAAUCAGCCUCAACUGGGUUCUGUGCCCUCUGCAAAGCUACAGAAUGCUAGAGCUGAGCAAAAUUUAAAUGAAUGAUCUGAAGGAUGCGCUUGGCUUUGCAACUGUUGUUUUCAAAGAGUCUGUGCAAUUCUCAAGCUUAUUCAAAACAUGCUGAUGAAGACAUUUCCUAGGAGUAUUAGGCCUGAAGAGACUUGGUGAACAGACUGCGGUAACUGUUGCUCAUGCUUGGUCAGAAGCCACAUGGUUUUGUCUCCCCAGCUGCAUGGCGAAUGCAGUUACCCAACUCAAAGUGAACUUUGAUGUCUGCAUAUGAAUAGGAAGUUUUAAGUUCUCAAGCAUAACAUUCACUCUUUGCAAUCAGAAGCUCAAGCACUCAGAUGUUGGCAGCAGAUACACAAAACACAAUCAUACAGAAAUUCAUUUUCAGAUUCCAACAAAUAUUAAGUCUUCCUUUCCUGCUCUUUGUUUAACAAUUGUAAUGAAUUUGAAUCAUUACUCUUUGUUUAACAAUUGUAAUGAAUUUGAAUCAUUAGCAACCCAUGUUGGAUUGGCACUAGUCACUUAGCAUAUGAGGGCACGUCCACACAUGCAGGCAUGUGUGCUUGCAGCAGCUCAAAUAGAAGUGGGGCAAAUUUGAGCCAGGGCUUUUUGCUUCAGUGCACGUUCCUGGACAUGCACUUUGGUGUGGGGCAAAUUGUGUCACUUGCGGCAAAAUAACUCUGCCUGGCUCCUCCCAGAUCUGCAGCCAGGGGGAGUUAGAGACUGGGGUCAGCACCUGUACUGGCCCCAGCAGUAUAAAAACCUGCCCUGUGCUUCUGGAGCAUCUGGGGCCCAGCCAGUUGGUACCUGGGGACACUACCCACUACCCCUUGUGCCAGCUGGACUGCUGAAGCAACCCUGAAUGUUCCCUACACACUUUACCCACUGCAGUAGUCUGGCAGUGGGGGCUGCUGCCUAGCUGUGACCUGCUGCCACCUGCAACAGCAUGUGGCCUCAAGGCUGCAUGCCUGCCAGACCCAGAUGGGGACUGCAUGGCCAUUAGAGGCAUCUGCACCUCUGGGAAAGCUGCCAGUAGGCUGUGUCUGUACAGUUGGCCCUUGUUUGACACUGCUGCCAUGUGUGCCACUGCCCAGCCAUCUGGGCAGCUAACGCCCGGAAGAUUUUCAAAGUGUGGUGGCCUGCUUUGAACUGUCAAAGCAUGUCCUGGCCCCAAGCAGCCAGGAGGUCAGCCACCACCAGCUGAGUCCUGGGUGCCAGCUCUGAGCAGGCUCCUUGCCUGGGUCCUGCCACUUGCCUCACUAGCAGGAAUUCUAGUGUUCUCUAUUUAAAAACUGGAAUUCCCAAAGUCACUUUUUAAAAUACCCCAACAUCCAUGUUCUUCCACAAGUAAAUAAAAGACCACUAUAUAUAUAUAUAUAUAUAUAUAUAUAUAUAUAUACAUACACAUAGAGAGAGAGAGAGAGAAAUCAAAUCAGUUAGGCAAUGUUUUAUUGAUAUAUUUACAAUUUUAAAGCAAUUUGGAAACAUACCAGUCAUAAGUCAUAAUUUGGAAGCCUACCAGCCUCUAUCAUUAUAAUAAAAU